rnacentral:rRNA from 1 species
GAGUUUGAUCCUGGCUCAGGAUGAACGCUGGCGGCGUGCGUAACACAUGCAAGUUGAACGACGAUGCCAUGAAGUGGUAACACGGAGUGGUAUACGGAGUAGCGGACGGGUGAGUAAAGCAUGAGAAUCUGUCCUGUCGAGGGGGAUAACGUUCGGAAACGGACCCUAAUACCCCAUAGACCGAGAGGUUAAAGGCAGCGAUGCGCGGCAGGAGGAGCUCGUGUCCUAUCAGCUGGUUGGUGAGGUAACGGCUCACCAAGGCUUCGACGGGUAGCCGGCCUGAGAGGGUGACCGGCCACACUGGAACUGAGAAACGGUCCAGACUCCUACGGGAGGCAGCAGUGGGGAAUAUUGGGCAAUGGGAGGAAUCCUGACCCAGCGACGCCGCGUGAACGAAGACGGCCUUCGGGUUGUAAAGUUCUUUUAUGUGGGAAGAAGGAAGUGACGGUACCACAUGAAUAAGCCCCGGCUAACUACGUGCCAGCAGCCGCGGUAAUACGUAGGGGGCGAGCGUUGUCCGGAAUUACCGGGCGUAAAGGGCACGCAGGCUGUGCUUCAAGUCAGCUGUAAAAGGAUGCGGCUUAACCGUGUUAUGCGGCUGAGACUGAGGUGCUGGAGUACCGGAGAGGCAAGUGGAAUUCCCAGUGUAGCGGUGAAAUGCGUAGAUAUUGGGAAGAACAUCGGUGGCGAAGGCGACUUGCUGGACGGUAACUGACGCUGAGGUGCGAAAGCCAGGGUAGCGAACGGGAUUAGAUACCCCGG